UGGGGAAUCUUGGACAAUGGGGGCAACCCUGAUCCAGCCAUGCCGCGUGGGUGAAGAAGGCCUUCGGGUUGUAAAGCCCUUUCAGCAGGGAAGAAGCUGGCUGACUCGAACAGGGUGGGUCAGUGACGUUACCUGCAGAAGAAGCGCCGGCCAACUCCGUGCCAGCAGCCGCGGUAACACGGAGGGCGCAAGCGUUAAUCGGAAUCACUGGGCGUAAAGGGCACGCAGGCGGCCCGUCAAGUGGGAUGUGAAAGCCCCGGGCUCAACCUGGGAAUGGCAUUCCAAACUGGCGGGCUAGAGUCCGGGAGAGGGAAGUGGAAUUCCCCGUGUAGCGGUGAAAUGCGUAGAUACGGGGAGGAACACCAGUGGCGAAGGCGACUUCCUGGCCCGGUACUGACGCUGAGGUGCGAAAGCGUGGGUAGCGAACG
rnacentral:rRNA from 1 species